GACGAACGCUGGCGGCGUGCUUAACACAUGCAAGUCGAACGAAGUGGCGAACGGGUGAGUAAUACGUGAGUAACCUGCCCUCAUUUUUGGGAUAAGCCUUGGAAACGGGGUAUAAUACCGAAUAAAGGGGGAUGGGGCCGCUGGCUAUCAGCUUGUUGGUGGGGUGAGGGCCUACCAAGGCGGUGACGGGUAGCGGGCCUGAGAGGGUGACAGGCGAAAGGGGGACUGGUAUAGGGGCCGAAGGCAGGCGGCAGUGGGCAGUGUGGGACAUUGGGCGAAAGGCGUAAGCAUCACGCAGGGGCGCCGCGAGGGGGAUGAAGGCUUUCGGGUUUUAAACCUCUAUCGCGAUCGAACUGGUAGGUGGAGAAGAAGCGCCGGCUAACUACGUGCCAGCAGCCGCGGUAAUAC
rnacentral:rRNA from 1 species